CUUGGUGGUAGUAGCAAAU
rnacentral:ncRNA from 3 species